rnacentral:misc_RNA from 1 species
AAGUCGUAACAAGGUAUCCGUAGGUGAACCUGCGGAUGGAUCAUUACCAAUUUCAACCAUUCAGGUUUUGCGCCCGCUCGCUGUGGUCACCAAAAAAAAAUGGCCCCAGUGAUGGUGCAUAAACUGUCUAUGUAAAUGUUGAACUAGAUCAUUCGGCGUGGGAUUGUGUCUUCAGGGGGUAACCCCUGAGCAAACCCCACUCUGAUAUCCUUUACAUAUAUAUAUAUAUACUACAUCAUAUGUAUAUACUACCAAACAACCAAAAAAAAAGUUUUAAUAGGACUUAGAAAAACGGACUGGGUGGGUAAAAUCCCUGGUCUUUAAUACUAUAACCAAUUACAACUUUCAGCAAUGGAUCUCUAGGCUCUC